CUCCUCUCCUCCGAAAAACUCCCUUCUCUCUUCUCUCUUCGAUUUUAUCUACCUAGGGUGUGAUUCCGAACAAGGUCCGAGAAUUAAAGUUGCUAUACGAAGCACAGGCUUUCCGAAUAUCUAAGAAAAUUCAUGAUCGGACCUUGUGGGAGCUCGGUUGACUUGGUCAAAAGGUCGGGUUUUGCUCAAAACCCUUGAGAUACACCACAGGAGCACAGUCAUGGAGAGUAUGGAGUGCAUGCAGACAUCACAGGCUAAAGUUAUUUUCUAAAGUACUUGUCUUUCUUUGUAAAUCGAACUACAUUGUACUAUUUUCUCUAAUUUGGAAUACUGUAUCAGUUUGACAGAUUUGUGAGAUUCAGGAAUUGUAUUGUAAUUUGGGGUAUCGUAUGUACUAUUGCGAGGAUUUAUAUUUAAAAUGGUAUUGUUAUUUAUGUUAAAAAUCGAGGGUGUGACAUCGUAAAAGCAUAGCAAUCCGUGUGUCCUUUUGAUCUUACAAAAGCAAAGGCCUGCUUUGUUUUCAGUGCGUUGUGCCUGCUUAUGGAUCAAGUUCAUUGCCUGUAAUGAAAUGCGACCUCUGAUU